ACAGUGUGGCAUGCAAGUGCCUGAUAGCAUCUGCUCUCAAAAGCUAAGCAGGGCCAUGCCUGGUUAGUACUUGGAUAGGAGACCAACUUGAAAGAUCAGAGGCCACUAUC
rnacentral:rRNA from 12 species